GAUGAACGCUGGCGGCGUGCCUAAUACAUGCCAGUCGAGCGAACGGACGAGAAGCUUGCUUCUCUGAUGUUAGCGGCGGACGGGUGAGUAACACGUGGAUAACCUACCUAUAAGACUGGGAUAACUUCGGGAAACCGGAGCUAAUACCGGAUAAUAUUUUGAACCGCAUGGUUCAAAAGUGAAAGACGGUCCUGCUGUCACUUAUAGAUGGAUCCGCGCUGCAUUAGCUAGUUGGUAAGGUAACGGCUUACCAUGGCAACGAUGCAUAGCCGACCUGAGAGGGUGAUCGGCCACACUGGAACUGAGACACGGUCCAGACUCCUACGGGAGGCAGCAGUAGGGAAUCUUCCGCAAUGGGCGAAAGCCUGACGGAGCAACGCCGCGUGAGUGAUGAAGGUCUUCGGAUCGUAAAACUCUGUUAUUAGGGAAGAACAUAUGUGUAAGUAACUGUGCACAUCUUGACGGUACCUAAUCAGAAAGCCACGGCUAACUACGU
rnacentral:rRNA from 1 species